rnacentral:lncRNA from 1 species
CUGAGGAAGCCGAGAACUCGCCACUAGUACGUCCUUACUGCGCGGGAUUAUUAAGCAUUGCGGAAGGUUGGGGUCCUGCAGAUGAAAGCAAUGAAACGAGAAUGACCCCUGUGUAGGGGACCCUCUAGGGGGAAACUGGAAGCAAGACUUCUGCCAUCAACCAUCACCAGUCUCUGUGACCACGGAACUCCCUCCUCUCACCCAUUUACCCUGCCCGAAAUGCCAUUGUUCCACGGAGGCCCUGGAAGCAUUAGGGGCCACGGGUGUGAAGCCAGGAGGGACGCCGCUGCCCCUGGAGGAAGCAGGGUGACAUCCUGUCUACUUGAAAAGAAAACUGAAAGUCCUGUCCUUCACGAGAAACUAUUGUGUUUUCCUAACCCACAGGGAAGGUAGCAGCCUGCUGGAGCCCACCCCAAGGAUCCCUGUGCUAUAUGAUACAUGUCCUGGUGAGAGUGUCCUGAGAGCUAAAAAGAUUCCUGUUGCCUGCUUUAUUGCUUUAGGAGUCUGGGACU